AAAUCCUUCUUGAUUUGAGAAUUUUUAUAUAUUUUGGUAAGUAAGAAAAGCAUUUUUUGCAGUGAUGCGUGCUGUUAUUGAAGCUGGUAGGGAUUAUUGAUAGGGACUCACUGACAUGGAUUCACAGGUGACACAGAUAGGGUUCAGUACUAUGGAUAUAAUAUAUUUCAAAAUAUAUUUCUUUGUAUUUUUGUAGAUUUCCCAACAUGUCAUAUAUUUACAUGCCUUUUUUUUUCUUGUUACAGAUUCUGUGAGCAGAUUCAGUGAGCAACUUCUGUGAGCGUAUAAAGUCAAGGAAGUUCCCUCUUGACAGCAGAGAACUUUGUUUUCUGUGGACCAAGUCGUAGUAAACAGCCACAUCACCAUCUUCAGUGAUGCUCUGAAGCUGAUGUUUGCCUCGUACUACUGCUUCAACAUUUCAUACCCAGGAGACCAAGGAGCAACGCUAGAGUUUGUGCAAAGAUGCCUUUUUAAGAUGAACCCUGAGAAGGGAUCAAAAGUGGAGAAGACCACAUCAAGAAAGCUAACAGCAGUCAGUCCGAAGGUUCUUUCAUUGAUUAGCAAGAUUGUGGACUAUGAAUGGAUGGACUAAAAACUUUGA